UGGGGAAUUGUUCACAAUGGGCGCAAGCCUGAUGACGCAACGCCGCGUGGGGGAUGAAGGUCUUCGGAUCGUAAACCCCUGUCGAAUGGGACGAAAGACUCGCGAGUGAAUACUUCGCGAGAGUGACGGUACCGUUAAAGGAAGCCACGGCUAACUCUGUGCCAGCAGCCGCGGUAAUACAGAGGUGGCAAGCGUUGUUCGGAAUUACUGGGCGUAAAGGGCGCGUAGGCGGCCCUCUAAGUCAGACGUGAAAUCCCCCGGCUUAACCUGGGAACUGCGUCUGAUACUGGAGGGCUUGAGUAUGGGAGAGGGAUGUAGAAUUCCAGGUGUAGCGGUGAAAUGCGUAGAUAUCUGGAGGAAUACCGGUGGCGAAGGCGGCAUCCUGGACCAUUACUGACGCUGAGGCGCGAAAGCUAGGGGAGCAAACGGGAUUAGAUACCCCAGUAGUCCCUGAGCGGGCUGGCAAGGCGCAU
rnacentral:rRNA from 1 species